rnacentral:rRNA from 1 species
UACGAAGGGGGCUAGCGUUGCUCGGAAUCACUGGGCGUAAAGCGCACGUAGGCGGGUCGUUAAGUCAGGGGUGAAAUCCCGGAGCUCAACUCCGGAACUGCCUUUGAUACUGGCGAUCUUGAGUUCGAGAGAGGUGAGUGGAACUGCGAGUGUAGAGGUGAAAUUCGUAGAUAUUCGCAAGAACACCAGUGGCGAAGGCGGCUCACUGGCCCGAUACUGACGCUGAGGUGCGAAAGCGUGGGGAGCAAACAGG